rnacentral:rRNA from 1 species
GACGAACGCUGGCGGCGUGCUUAACACAUGCAAGUCGAACGAAGAGCGACGGAAGCUUGCUUCUAUCAAUCUUAGUGGCGAACGGGUGAGUAACGCGUAAUCAACCUGCCCUUCAGAGGGGGACAACAGUUGGAAACGACUGCUAAUACCGCAUACGAUCUAACCUCGGCAUCGAGGAUAGAUGAAAGGUGGCCUCUACAUGUAAGCUAUCACUGAAGGAGGGGAGUGCGUCUGAUUAGCUAGGUGGAGGGGUAACGGCCCACCAAAGCGAAGAUCAGUAGGCCGGCUGGGGAGAUUAACGGCCACAUUGGGAACGAGACCACGCCCAGACCCCUAAGGGGAGCAGCAGUGGGGAAUCUUCCGCAAUGGACGAAAGGCUGGCGGAGCAACGCCGGGUGGGUGAUGACGGCCUUCGGGUUGUAAAGCUCUGUUUAUCGGGACGAAAAGCCUUCUUGCGAAUAGUGAGAAGGAUUGACGGUACCGGAAUAGAAAGCCACGGCUAACUACGUG